ensembl:lncRNA
UAUUUACGUAGACAUUACAUCCAUCUCCAGACUUCUGCACAUUCCACGAAGAAGGAGAAUGUUGUGGAACUUGAGCUUUCAUUACUUGUUUACAGAUCCAGGAGCAUAGUGCAGUGUUGUUUACAGGACCAGGAGCAUAGUGCAGUGUUGUUUACAGGAGCAUAGUGCAGUGUUGUUUACAGGAGCAUAGUGUUGUGUUGUUUACAGGUCCAUAGUGUUGUGUUGUUUACAGAUCCAGGAGCAUAGUGUUGUGUUGUUUACAGGUCCAGGAGCAUAGUGUUGUGUUGUUUACAGGUGUUGUUUACAGAUCCAGGGGCAUAGUGCAGUGUUGUUUACAGGUCCAGGAGCAUAGUGUUGUGUUGUUUACAGAUCCAGGAGCAUAGUGCAGUGUUGUUGUUGUUUACAGAUCCAGGAGCAUAGUGUUGUGUUGUUUACAGAUCCAGGAGCAUAGUGCUGUGUUGUUUACAGGUCCAGGAGCAUAGUGUUGUGUUGUUUACAGGUCCAUAGUGCAGUGUUGUUUACAGGUCCAGGAGCAUAGUGCAGUGUUGUCCCCCCUCUGCAGACUGCCACGAGUGUGUUGUGUGUUUAAGAAGGGAAGAUCAAUUAAAAGAUUUGAUUAAAUACAUCAGAAACUGUGAACAUAUUUAUUGAACACGUCUUUCAAAGUGAUCAUACUAGCUAACAGUGCUGACUCCAGAGUUUAUUUGUGGUAGCUAGGGGGCUUGGGAGCUUGGGAGCAUUGGUGUUAUGGUAGGUAGUUGGUUUGCAGAGGCCUUGCAAAUCACCUCAGACAUAUUUUUUUUACCUGCAAUAAUAGGGAUGUCAGAUUGUACAGGGUGUAGAUCUUGGUAACUUUAGUGUCUGAACUUUUAAAAAUGUAAGCGAAAAAAAGCAAAUUACAUUUCCAGAGUACAGUCCCCCAUCUUUGUUUCCCCCCCCCGAAGUAGCAUUAGGCAGAUACACCACACAAGUAUAAAUGUUCAC